rnacentral:rRNA from 1 species
CGGAGAGUGGCGCACGGGUGAGUAACACAUGGCUGACCUGCCCUUCAGAGGAGGACAACCAGUGGAAACGCUGGCUAAUACUCCAUACGCUCGCGGGAGUUAGAGACCCGUGAGGAAAAGCUCCGGCGCUGAAGGAGGGGGCUGUGGCCCAUCAGCUAGUUGGUAAGGUAACGGCUUACCAAGGCGAGGACGGGUAGGGGGCCUGAGAGGGUGACCCCCCACACGGGUACUGAGACACGGACCCG